UACGUAGGGUGCAAGCGUUGUCCGGAAUUAUUGGGCGUAAAGAGCUCGUAGGCGGCUUGUCGCGUCGGCUGUGAAAACCUGGGGCUCAACCCCGGGCCUGCAGCCGAUACGGGCAAGCUAGAAUUCGGUAGGGGAGACUGGAAUUCCUGGUGUAGCGGUGAAAUGCGCAGAUAUCAGGAGGAACACCGGUGGCGAAGGCGGGUCUCUGGACAAUUCCUGACACUGAGACACGAAGGCCAGGGGAGCAAACGGG
rnacentral:rRNA from 1 species